CUUCUGUCUCUCUCUCUGGCUCAAAUGAAAAGUUUUCACUCUCGUGAGCCUUCUGGCUCUCUGUCUCUCUCUCAAACGACUCCAUAGCACUGCUAAAGCUGCAUCAGUAGCUCCAAUGAACCUGGUCGCCAAAUCUCGUCAGCCCACUUCAUCUCGUGAAAGUGGAUAUGCUCGUGAACCCUUAAAAACCCUCAAAAGCUCUUCUAAAGCACAAUCAAUCCGACCAUUAAAGACUGUAGCUUUUGGCGACAAGCCAAGGAAGAAGCAGAGAUCUGUGAACACAUGCUUCUCUUCUCAACCUCAAACGACUCCAUUUCCCUCUACAACUUGAGAGAGGGAGAGAAGACAAGGAGAAUAGAGGAGUUGGAGAGGUUUUACUAGGGUUUUGGUUCCUUGCUUCUACAGGAAAGAUACAUAAAAGAGGCUUGAACCAAAUAGAUCUUCAGCUGUCACACCCAGGUUUACUUCAAUUAUACGGGAAGGUACUCUUAUGCCAUCAACAUCAAUUUUGAGCAAUACCCAGAUUUCUACCAUCCAUAUAUCAAUAGCAGGAUCUUGCUUAUGAUUUAAAAGGGAAAAAAGAAUGCAAAAGGAUGUAAACAAUUCAGGAAAAAAGAAUCAUUGAAGCACAUGGAUGAAAGGGGGAAGCAUAGCUACAAAUUCCUCAUUCAUCAGAAGCUUUACCAUCUAAAACAGACUGUAGAAUCAUUGCCUUUGCAGUGGAAUCAGUUGAAAAUCUACCAAGUACAACAACUGUGGCUGUACUACUUCCCAUCUUUUCAAUUGUGUUUUAGGUGUGCAAGUUUAUGGAAGUGGCUUGAAAUGUGUGUGGACUAUGGUGUCUGGUAGCCAUGUUCCCUUGAUAAGAAAAAAUCAACAGUUAAUAUGGGAAGUCAGGAUCCAUUCUUGUAUAAACUGACUUGGUUUUAAAUGGGGAAGAAGUAUGUGUUGUUGAAUCCCCCUUUGCUGUAGCCCUCUACCAUGAGUGUGAACUCAAACCUGAAAGCACAUAAGCCCAUCCUGUCUCCUCAUAGAGCUCGUGGCUUGCCAUUCUGUCCCUUAUCUCCUUCAGUUCUGCUUCAAGCCAGUUGUAGAGACCAUCUCUUGCUUGAGUUGAUGCUCAAGCUAAUAUGGCUGAUCUAUUAGCUGCAACAAUGGAUUGUACACCCUCUUGCUAUUGUAAUUUCUCUAUCUAGCAUUAUGACCUUAGUAUUGUUACAUCCAGAAAAAAUACACAUUUAACAGAAAGCCUUUAAAAUAUACACAUUUAACAGGAAGCCUUUAAAAUAUACACAUUUAACAGAAAGCCUGCUCAAUUUGUUACCUGUAACCUGUGACCAAGUGAUGAAGAAAUAUGGCUACUGCUCAAUUUGUUACCUGUAACCUGUGACCAAGUGAUGAAGAAAUAUGGCUAAGUGUAACUUAGCAAAUUCUGCUCCAACACAAAAUCCAUUGUUGCACCACCGAAAGCUAUGAAAUUGGACCUAGCAUUUGUUUCCAUAUUUUGUGUUUUAACAUGAAAUGUUAAUAAAUAUUGAUUGUGACAUGGAUUAUAUCAAUUCAUUUGCUUCAAAAUGCCAAAAAUUACUUGUUUAGUUAGAUGGAUUUGUAUCCAUAUGCAUAUAUUAACCUUAUUCCUGUCUUGUUCUACAAUUAAAAUUACUGAAUUAUAUUAAUCUGGUAAAAUUUCCUUGUGCCAAGAUUCUGGAUCCAUCUCAUCUGAAAUUAAUGCUACUGUACAACUACUGAUGCUUGUGGGCUGCCAUGUGGUAUAGUUUGUUUUUAUCAAUGUGUCUCCCCCAGUAAUUUGGAUUUUUGUUGGAAUAAGGUGUUGGAUGUUGUUGUCGUUGUAUUUUCUCUUAUAUUAUGUGCCUGAUAGCAAUGUAGCCUCUUAUUUGGAAUAGAAUUCUGUUUAUGUUGUUUUCAAUUCCCAAGAUUUUACAAAGCUUUUUGUUACCCCAAUAUACUUUAGAUGGAUCAAUUUAUGUAGAGAGUAAUGAGUAUGUUUAUGUUUAUGUUUGUACAUAAUGUGUAUUUUUCAACUUAUUCAAAUGUUUAACUUUAUGCAUUAUUUAUGUAGAUAGUAAUGAGUACUAGAAGAACCCCUACCCCUACUUCAUCCACUAUUAUCUGGAAUGCUGCUGAGGUACAAGCAUAUUCAUCAACUUAAUGGUUGAGAAUGUGAGGAAUGGUCAAAAGACCAACUCAACGUUCACAAAGGUAGCAUGGGAUAAUAUAAUAAAGGGAAUGGAAGCCAAAUUUAAGCGACCUUUUGGGAAGGAGCAACUCCGUAAUAAGAUGAACAAAUUACGGGGUGACUACAAUAGCUUCAAGGGUCUUUUGGAAACAACGAGAUUUGGCUAAGAUUCAAAUACCAGGACUGCUACAGCUGAAGAUUUUGUGUGGGAGGGUGUUAUUAAGGCAAACCCAGCAUGGCUAAAUAUAGAAUGCAAGGACUUCUAUGGUGGCUAGAGUUGUUAGAGAUUUUCUUCGACUUAAGUGCUUGUGGAGCUAGAGGUCUUUUGCAGUCCACUGCAGCUAUUCCAAGGACCACAAAUCUGGGACUUGAUCAAGAUGACCUUGAGGAGACUGAUGUUGAUGAAGAGGUCAAUCCAACUGCACCUAAGAGGAGACUUGAUAGGAUGCCUACAGAUUGUAGGAAGAAGAGCCAAUCAAGGUCCAUUACCAACUCUGUCAUUGUCUUUAGGAAAUUCGUGGCUUGGAGAAUGGAGAAGGGUGCAUCCAUUGCUGAUUCCGCAACAGUCCGACCUGCUAAUCCAUGACAACGUAAUCCGUUGUCAGAAACUGUUAGACACCCUAGAAGAUAUUUCAGAAUAGUUGUAUGUGAUGGCUCAACAGAAAAUACAGUGAUGUUGCUUGGUGACUGUCAUUCAUGGAAGUGAUUACGGAGAGGAGGAUGUGGAUGAUAAAGCACUUGAAGUAGUGUUUUUUAAAUGACUUUAAUUUUACGUGGCUUUUUGGACACUCAAGUUUUGUUUUUUUGGACAACUUGUUAAUGUUUUUAUGUUUAAUGACUUUUUUAGUGCUUGUUCUUUGUGCCCACUCUACUCAUGGUUGUUUGAAUGAAUUUCCUUUUACUUUCA